CUCCAGGCUAGAAGCAGCACAAAUUGUUCUGAUCAAGGAGCAAUAACAUGGCAUGACCCCAGAGCCCCCCGCCCCUCCCCCCAGCAGCCUGAGGGGGGCACCCAGUCCUCCUCUGCCUCCAUCGUCAUGGCCUGUGGCCACUCGGCCUCGACAGCCUCAUGCCUCACAUCUCCCAGCUCUGGCCUCCUUUCAAAGGCCCUUUAUUAAACCACCAACUAUUUGCUGUCGAGACAUUUAGGAUGAAAUCAUUGUGUUAAACAAAUAAACGUAGCUUCGUCCAGA
rnacentral:lncRNA from 1 species